rnacentral:rRNA from 1 species
UAGGGAAUUUUCGGCAAUGGGCGCAAGCCUGACCGAGCAACGCCGCGUGAGGGAAGAAGGUCUUCGGAUCGUAAACCUUUGUCUUCGGGGAAGAUAAUGACGGUACCCGAGGAGGAAGCCACGGCUAACUACGUGCCAGCAGCCGCGGUAAUACGUAGGUGGCAAGCGUUGUCCGGAAUUACUGGGCGUAAAGGGCGUGUAGGCGGCGAUGUAAGUCAGACGUGAAAACUCCGGGCUUAACUUGGAGAUUGCGUUUGAAACUGUAUGGCUAGAGGAUCGGAGAGGGCAGUGGAAUUCCCAGUGUAGCGGUGAAAUGCGUAGAUAUUGGGAGGAACACCAGUGGCGAAGGCGGCUGCCUGGACGACACCUGACGCUGAGGCGCGAAAGCUAGGGGAGCAAACGGG